AUCCAGCUGACAUGUCCCAAACUGGACGAAAUGAGCAUCCUAGAU
rfam:Schistosoma mattheei strain Denwood, Zambia genome assembly, scaffold: SMTD_scaffold0021255